rnacentral:lncRNA from 1 species
UGGAGCUUUGGAAUUGUUUUGGGAAUAAGUGUGGUCUCUUGGGAGUUUCAAAUGAGUUGGCUAGUGAGUCCUCUUCUUGUUUUGUUUUGUAAAUAUGUUGUGUAUCUUGUCUCUUAGAGUUGUCUUCUGAAAAGAGAAGAAAAGAAAAGAGACAAGAUGGAAAAAAAAAAAAGAAGACAAAAAAAAAAUUCAGAAAAAUGAAAAAAAAAUAUAUUUCAAUAAUGGAGUCAAGAAGAGGAUUGAAUUAGAGGUUUUGGGAGUAAAUUGAAGGAAUUUACACUUGUUCCCCAUUGCUCCUUUAUUUCUUUUGGUUUGUAGCUUCUCAUCCAUAUUUAUCCUCCCUUGUCCUUGGC